UCCGAGUUGACCCCGGCAGUCUUCCAUGAGUCCCCGCCAUUACGCGCUGGCAACAUGGAACGAGGGUUGCGCUCGUUGCGGGACUUAACCCAACAUCUCACGACACGAGCUGACGACAACCAUGCACCACCUGUGAACCGGCCCCAAAGGGGAAACCACAUUUCUGCGGCGGUCCGGUCCAUGUCAAGCCCUGGUAAGGUUCUUCGCGUUGCGUCGAAUUAAACCACACGCUCCGCUGCUUGUGCGGGCCCCCGUCAAUUCCUUUGAGUUUUAGCCUUGCGGCCGUACUCCCCAGGCGGCGAACUUAAUGCGUUAGCUUCGGCACGGAGACCGUGAAGGUCCCCACACCUAGUUCGCACCGUUUACGGCCAGGACUAC
rnacentral:misc_RNA from 1 species